rnacentral:rRNA from 1 species
AAAUUGAAGAGUUUGAUCAUGGCUCAGAUUGAACGCUGGCGGCAGGCCUAACACAUGCAAGUCGAACGGUAACAGGAAGCAGCUUGCUUCUUUGCUGACGAGUGGCGGACGGGUGAGUAAUGUCUGGGAAACUGCCUGAUGGAGGGGGAUAACUACUGGAAACGGUAGCUAAUACCGCAUAACGUCGCAAGACCAAAGAGGGGGACCUUCGGGCCUCUUGCCAUCGGAUGUGCCCAGAUGGGAUUAGCUUGUUGGUGGGGUAACGGCUCACCAAGGCGACGAUCCCUAGCUGGUCUGAGAGGAUGACCAGCCACACUGGAACUGAGACACGGUCCAGACUCCUACGGGAGGCAGCAGUGGGGAAUAUUGCACAAUGGGCGCAAGCCUGAUGCAGCCAUGCCGCGUGUAUGAAGAAGGCCUUCGGGUUGUAAAGUACUUUCAGCGGGGAGGAAGGGAGUAAAGUUAAUACCUUUGCUCAUUGACGUUACCCGCAGAAGAAGCACCGGCUAACUCCGUGCCAGCAGCCGCGGUAAUACGGAGGGUGCAAGCGUUAAUCGGAAUUACUGGGCGUAAAGCGCACGCAGGCGGUUUGUUAAGUCAGAUGUGAAAUCCCCGGGCUCAACCUGGGAACUGCAUCUGAUACUGGCAAGCUUGAGUCUCGUAGAGGGGGGUAGAAUUCCAGGUGUAGCGGUGAAAUGCGUAGAGAUCUGGAGGAAUACCGGUGGCGAAGGCGGCCCCCUGGACGAAGACUGACGCUCAGGUGCGAAAGCGUGGGGAGCAAACAGGAUUAGAUACCCUGGUAGUCCACGCCGUAAACGAUGUCGACUUGGAGGUUGUGCCCUUGAGGCGUGGCUUCCGGAGCUAACGCGUUAAGUCGACCGCCUGGGGAGUACGGCCGCAAGGUUAAAACUCAAAUGAAUUGACGGGGGCCCGCACAAGCGGUGGAGCAUGUGGUUUAAUUCGAUGCAACGCGAAGAACCUUACCUGGUCUUGACAUCCACAGAACUUUCCAGAGAUGGAUUGGUGCCUUCGGGAACUGUGAGACAGGUGCUGCAUGGCUGUCGUCAGCUCGUGUUGUGAAAUGUUGGGUUAAGUCCCGCAACGAGCGCAACCCUUAUCCUUUGUUGCCAGCGGUCCGGCCGGGAACUCAAAGGAGACUGCCAGUGAUAAACUGGAGGAAGGUGGGGAUGACGUCAAGUCAUCAUGGCCCUUACGACCAGGGCUACACACGUGCUACAAUGGCGCAUACAAAGAGAAGCGACCUCGCGAGAGCAAGCGGACCUCAUAAAGUGCGUCGUAGUCCGGAUUGGAGUCUGCAACUCGACUCCAUGAAGUCGGAAUCGCUAGUAAUCGUGGAUCAGAAUGCCACGGUGAAUACGUUCCCGGGCCUUGUACACACCGCCCGUCACACCAUGGGAGUGGGUUGCAAAAGAAGUAGGUAGCUUAACCUUCGGGAGGGCGCUUACCACUUUGUGAUUCAUGACUGGGGUGAAGUCGUAACAAGGUAACCGUAGGGGAACCUGCGGUUGGAUCACCUCCUUACCUUAAAGAAGC